rnacentral:misc_RNA from 1 species
GGAGAAAACAAAAGCGGGUGGUAUGCUGCUUAGCUGCAGGUGGUUUUCGAUAGAGUACUGGUAUCUUGAUUCUAAACAACAGAGAAUAUGAUUCACUUUGUCCUUCUUAUUAGUCGACAAGGGAAAGUGAGGUUGACUAAAUGGUAUUCGCCUUAUUCACAAAAGGAAAGAACUAAGGUUAUUCGUGAACUAAGUGGAGUGAUUCUGAGUCGAGGGCCCAAGCUUUGUAAUUUCGUUGAAUGGAGAGGAUAUAAAGUUGUUUAUAAAAGGUAUGCUAGUCUUUAUUUCUGCAUGUGCAU